GAACGGAGUUGUGUUGAAAGCUUGCUGGAUAUACAACUUAGUGGCGGACGGGUGAGUAACACGUGAGUAACCUGCCUUUCAGAGUGGAAUAACGUUUGGAAACGAACGCUAAUACCGCAUAACAUGAAAGAACGGCAUCGUUCUUUCAUCAAAGAUUUUAUCGCUGAGAGAUGGGCUCGCGGCCGAUUAGGUAGUUGGUGAGAUAACAGCCCACCAAGCCGACGAUCGGUAGCCGGACUGAGAGGUUGAACGGCCACAUUGGGACUGAGACACGGCCCAGACUCCUACGGGAGGCAGCAGUGGGGGAUAUUGCACAAUGGAGGAAACUCUGAUGCAGCGACGCCGCGUGAGGGAAGACGGUCUUCGGAUUGUAAACCUCUGUCUUUAGGGACGAAAAAAUGACGGUACCUAAGGAGGAAGCCACGGCUAACUACGUGCCAGCAGCCGCGGUAAUACGUAGGUGGCAAGCGUUGUCCGGAAUUACUGGGUGUAAAGGGAGCGUAGGCGGGGAGACAAGUUGAAUGUUUAAACUAUCGGCUCAACUGAUAGUCGCGUUCAAAACUAUCACUCUUGAGUGCAGUAGAGGUAGGCGGAAUUCCUAGUGUAGCGGUGAAAUGCGUAGAUAUUAGGAGGAACACCAGUGGCGAAGGCGGCCUACUGGGCUGUAACUGACGCUGAGGCUCG
rnacentral:rRNA from 1 species